rnacentral:pre_miRNA from 1 species
AGGGGGAGCACCGCAUCUUGGGCUGUGUCCCCCGGCGCCCUGGGCUCUGGGGUCUGCGCAACUGGAAUAGCGCUCCCGGGCCCCGCAGCCACCU